rfam:Phoenicopterus ruber ruber contig105239, whole genome shotgun sequence.
AAGGCUCUUUUCAGAGCCACCCACAGCGGUCGUAAAGGGUUG